UACACUCCUGCGGGAGGCAGCAGUGGGGAAUUUUGGACAAUGGGGGCAACCCUGAUCCAGCAAUGCCGCGUGAGUGAAGAAGGCCUUCGGGUUGUAAAGCUCUUUUGUCAGGGAAGAAACGGUGGUGGCGAAUAACUACUACUAAUGACGGUACCUGAAGAAUAAGCACCGGCUAACUACGUGCCAGCAGCCGCGGUAAUACGUAGGGUGCAAGCGUUAAUCGGAAUUACUGGGCGUAAAGCGUGCGCAGGCGGUUGUGUAAGUCAGAUGUGAAAUCCCCGGGCUCAACCUUGGAAUUGCAUUUGAGACUGCUCGGCUAGAGUGUGUCAGAGGGGGGUAGAAUUCCACGUGUAGCAGUGAAAUGCGUAGAUAUGUGGAGGAAUACCGAUGGCGAAGGCAGCCCCCUGGGAUAACACUGACGCUCAUGCACGAAAGCGUGGGGAGCAAACAGGAUUAGAUACCCUGGUAGUCCCAU
rnacentral:rRNA from 1 species